AAAGGGUGCGUAGGCGGUCUUUCAAGUCAGGAGUGAAAGGCUACGGCUCAACCGUAGUAAGCUCUUGAAACUGGGAGACUUGAGGGCAGGAGAGGAGAGUGGAAUUCCUAGUGUAGCGGUGAAAUGCGUAGAUAUUAGGAGGAACACCAGUUGCGAAGGCGGCUCUCUGGACUGUAACUGACGCUGAGGCACGAAAGCGUGGGGAGCAAACAGGAUUAGAUACCCUGGUAGUCCACGCUGUAAACGAUGAGUACUAGGUGUCGGGGGUUACCCCCUUCGGUGCCGCAGCUAACGCAUU
rnacentral:rRNA from 1 species